rnacentral:rRNA from 1 species
GCGUGCCUAACACAUGCAAGUCGAGCGGAGAUUCAGGAAGUAGCAAUACGGAAUGGAUCUUAGCGGCGGACGGGUGAGUAACACGUGAGUAACCUGCCUUCUACAGGGGAAUAACACCGUGAAAACGGUGCUAAUACCGCAUAACAUCACACUGUGGCAUCACAGAGUGAUCAAAGGAGCAAUCCGGUAGAAGAUGGACUCGCGUCCGAUUAGCUAGUUGGCGGGGUAACGGCCCACCAAGGCGACGAUCGGUAGCCGAACUGAGAGGUUGAUCGGCCACAUUGGGACUGAGACACGGCCCAGACUCCUACGGGAGGCAGCAGUGGGGAAUAUUGGGCAAUGGGCGAAAGCCUGACCCAGCAACGUCGCGUGAAGGAAGAAGGCCUUCGGGUCGUAAACUUCUUUGAACAGGGACGAAACAAAUGACGGUACCUGAAAAACAAGCCACGGCUAACUACGUGCCAGCAGCCGCGGUAAUACGUAGGUGGCG